ensembl:lncRNA
AGCGCACAACUUUUGGUAACAUGAUAUCUUCGCCGGUCCCAUUCACAAGGGGGAGAUAGCAAUGUUUUUUUUACUUCUCAUUUUGUGAAAACAAGGAAGAGAAACCUGCUAGUAGUAGCAAAGAUUUUUAUAGCUAACCCAAGAUAGUCUACAGCCUGUCCUUUCCAAUGGGAGCAAAUGCAUCGUGGUGGGCAGAACAGGCAAGGAGGUUGGCAGAGCCAAGCACGAGCAAUCGAGGUCUUUUUGGCUCGUUCUAGCAUGAAGUGGUGGUGAGUGGAAAUCCCAACCGGAUGCUACAGAUUUAUACAUCUUGUGAAACAUCUGGCUCAUUGUUCUAUCUCUGGUAGUAGCUAGCUGGCAGCCUGGCUAGCUGGCUUAAGCAUGGAUAAAAACAACUAGCUAGCCGUUUUAGCUUCCCACAUCUCCAUGUGAAAUAAUCAGAUUUAAUACAAGAAAUGCCCUGUCAAAUAUUCUUAUACUUACAUGUAACAUAAACAUCAUCCCAGUUUGAUAUGCUGCUUGUGUAUUCGUUCCCAUAUCAGCAAAAAAUCGAACGUGUGAGGUUCUGUGUUAUACACUAGCCCGUUACCAUAUCAUAUGUGAUGGAAUAUAAUUUGCUUUUGGCUUGUGUGGGUAUAUGUGUCAUGCAACAUAGCUGACUUGAGACAUUGUUAACAGUUUCAGGGCCAUGGGCCUUUCUCAUGAUGGAAAAAUACAGAAUAACAUGAAGACAAGAACUGUGCAAUGAGUUGUGGGGGCACAUUCAGAACGUAGUGUUGCGAGAACAAACAGUCUUUUGUUAGAUAACAGGAGCCAGGUGUGUGAUAUCUGUAUCGAGCAUGGGCGCAUAGAUAUUCUACACAACUACAACGACUGACCGCUGAAGCGCCUAGGGAGCUGGGACCAGCCUGUGCGCCAACAUUCAACGAUAGGCUGGGUGCACUAUCCUUCUGACCCUAUGCAGCCAGGUCCCAUCUACUUUUGAACUCCUCGCAACUGCAGAGGUCAAAACAACAACAAGCAUGUGCAGACCAUGCACAAGCUCCACCACAGUCUGGACCAUCACUUCCUGAUCACAGGCCACACCAAGUUUGCCCCUGACUGGUGCUUCAGUCUCAUCAAGCAGAGCUUCAGAAAUACCAGAGUGAACACUUUGUCUGAGAUUGCUGGUGUUGUGAAGGACAGCACUGUGACAGGGGUCAACAUCCCACAGCUGGUUGGACUGGAGGAUGGUACGGUGCUGGUGGAAAGCUAUGGCUGGCAACAACACCUGACUCCGUACUUCAGGCCGCUGACACAGUUCAAGCAGUACCAGCACUUCAGCUUCGGUGCUUUGGAGCCUGGUGUUGUUGUCACCAAGAAGUGUUCAUACUCAGUCGGGACUAGGUUUCAGAUGCUGCCCAAUGAUGACAUCCUUCCUCCAUAGAUGGUCUGCCUGUACAAGCACCACCUGGACUGGAAACAGCUAGACAAACUUAUGUUUUUGAGAAGAUCAGGGAGUUUUGCAAUGAAGAGGCUAUGGAUGUCACAUGACCUGCCCCAAAGUCAAAGGCAGGACAGAAACAGUAUUUCCAAAUAUAGAUUCCCUUGUUCAUGCGUUGUUCGGAUGGACCAGUCAUCAGCACUAUCUGCAGUGCCUCUAUUCAAAUAACUCUCUCCUAUUCAAAUAACUCUCUCCUAAUACGUUGCUGCUACUAUUUCUUUUUUUUAUCCUGCUGCUCAGCCACUUAACCCCUGACUGUAUGCAUAUAAGACUACCUCAUCUAUCACUGAUAUCGAUAUUGUUCUUGUACUUACUGUAUAUUAUUUUAUUUAUAUUGACACUAUCUAUUUCUGAUAUUGCUACUAUGCAAGUAACCAUUUGGCUGUACCAUUUACACCUUCUGUAGAGACCCAUCCACUUCGCAAGAUGUGGCUGGGGAUUGGUUAUAGAAUUUCUUUCACAUGACCCAUCAAUUUAGACAAGUGUGUCUGGGUAAGCGUAAGUCUGGACACUUUGUUUACCCUGAAUUUUUCCUUAUUGUAGGCUACUUCUUUUACCACUUUUAGUCUUCAUCUUUACUACACUACUCACUGUUUAGCACAUGAACUCACAUGUGAAUCCUUAAAGAGAUUGGUGGGGCUGGCUUAAGAGGGUGAACAAUGCUGAAUGGGUGUUGACAAAGGAGAGCUCUCCAGUAGGUACCAAAAUAUUCAAAGGCCAUUUUCUCAAAAGUGAGUUAACAAGUUAUUUGGUUGACGAUAUUUCUGAGAACAUUAAAGCCAGAUUAUCAAGUUAUUGAUAGUGUUGAAGUUUGUGACAUUAACACGUUGCCGUUCUCUAACCAGUGUGUAGUUAACAGAGUAUUCAACAAUAGCUGAAUCGGUUCGCCUUCAAAAUAAAAGUACCACAUUGAAACUGUGAAACUGACCCAAAACGGAUACAAAUAGUGUUAUAAUUUUAUAAUUGGGUUAGAUCAUACUAAACAACUUUGGAAUGUUAUGUAAAUUCAACAAAAGACAUCAGUUAAUUUGAUUUUUAAAAAUAAGUGAAACUCAGUUGAAACCGCACUGUUCAGACUUCAGAAUUGCAUUGGGAGGCAUACUUAUUUGAACUGUACAGCAUAACCUAUGGAUUUUGAGCUAUGCAAUGUGGUAUCAGACUAGUGACACCCACAGAACAAAACUCUGAUUAUGGGUAAAAACAUUGUCUGACUUGUGCCUACAUGAAUUUGACAAAAAUCAACUGCUCAAAGAUCAUGGAGUUUUCACUGCAGUCAACUGCAAGUUUCUGCAGUCUCUCUUCAGCAACUUCAUCCUGCAUUGUGGGUGGCUCUAUUGUCACACAAUCAUUAGGGUGUUUUUUUUUACCUACCCGAACGUGACCAAAGACGUGACUGAAAGAGGAAUCAACUUUGCACAAUACAUGUAUAAGGUGGAUAUGUUCAAAAUCACGUGAUGUGAGGCGCUCUCUCACCGAUUGAUUGUACAGUGUACACACAUAUAUUUUCAGUUUGUGAAUGUGUGAUGUGGGGGGUUUGAGACGUUCAUUUCGACAUUUAUAAAGAACAUUUAAUAAACAAUGAC